GAGGCAGAGGGUGGACAAGAGUGUUCUAGACAUAGACAACAGCAUGAGCAAAGGCGCUCAAGAACUUAAGGCAGGCUGAUGUGGUCAAGGCCCAGAGAACAAGAGGCCAUGGGCAGAAGGAAUGAGUGAGGUAUCACUGGAACAUGUCAGAUCUGCCAGGCCCUUUGAUGGUUAAUCAUUUUUCUUUCAAUUUUCUUGGGUAAAAUACACAUAAAAUGUAUUCUCUUAGCCAUUUUCAGCAUAUAGGUCAAUGUUAUUAAACACAUUCAUAAUAUUGCACUACCGUCACCACCACUGUGAUAAUUAAUUUUAUGUCAACUUGACUGGGCUACAUGGUUCCCAGAGAGCUGGUUAAACAUCAUUUCUGGAUAUGUCUGUGAGGACGAUUUUGGAAGAGGUUAGCAUUUGAAUUGAUGGACUGAGAAAAGCAGAUGGUCAUCCUAAAGGUGAGUAGGCCUGAUCUGAUCUUUUGAGGGCUUGAAAAGAAAAAGGUGGAGGAGUUGAAUUGAUUCUGCCUGACAGCACGAGCUGGGGCACUGGUACUCUGCCCUUGGUGCUCCCGGUUCUCAGGACUGAGUUGCACCACCAGCCUUCCUGAGCCUCCAGCUUGCAGAAAGCAGAUCACGGGACAUUUUAGCUUGCAUUAUCCUGUGAACCACUACCUGAUCUUAACCCUCUUCCUAGAUAAACAUCCAGCUGAUUCUGUUUCUCGGGAGGAUCCCAACACAGGCCAGAAUAGGCCACGAUAAGCUGGUCAUGACCGCAGCCCUCCUCCUCAUCCAAUCUCCUUCUUCCAGGCUCCCUGCUUCUGCUCUGGCCCUGCUCAGAUCUCUCUUCAGCACAGCUGCCAGAAUGAUUUUACAAAAAAACACAAAUCUGACAAUGUCACUUCCCUGCUGGGAAUAUCUCAAGGCUUCUACUUUGUGAAGACCCAGAUCCUUGACUUCACUAACUGAACGCCCACUUUGUUCAGAAGAGACAGGACCACAAAGAGCUGCUCUCUUCCCAAAGAAGGAAGUUCAGAGGAGCCGCCACCUGUGCAGACAAACCCAAGGCUGCUGCAGGUGCUGGGGCCAACAGAACAGAGGUGGAAAGACCCUGGCUCUCAUGGACGUCACUAAAUCAACCAGGCCUGGAGGCUGCCCUACCCCUGAACUUCCUGUUAUGUAGGACAAUAAAUCAUCUUGUUUAAACUGGU